CGUAGGGGCGAGCGUUGUCCGGAAUUACUGGGCGUAAAGGGCGUGUAGGCGGCCCCUUAAGUCCGGUGUGAAAGCCCACGGCUCAACCGUGGAAGGUCACUGGAAACUGGGGGCUUGAGAGCAGGAGAGGAGAGCGGAAUUCCCGGUGUAGCGGUGAAAUGCGUAGAGAUCGGGAGGAACACCAGUGGCGAAGGCGGCUCUCUGGCCUGGCUCUGACGCUGAGGCGCGAAAGCGUGGGGAGCAAACAGGAUU
rnacentral:rRNA from 1 species